rnacentral:rRNA from 1 species
AACGAACGUUAGCGGCGCGCUUAACACAUGCAAGUCGAGCGAGAAAGGGCUUCGGCCCCGGUAAAGCGGCGCACGGGUGAGUAACACGUAGGUAAUCUGCCCUCAGGUGGUGGAUAACUUUCCGAAAGGAAGGCUAAUACAGCAUGAGACCACGGUUCCGAAAGGGACAGGGGUCAAAGCCGGUCAAUUCAUGAAAGCUGGUGCCAGAGGAUGAGCCUGCGGCCCAUCAGCUAGUUGGUAGGGUAAUGGUCUACCAAGGCGAAGACGGGGAGCUGGUCUGAGAGGAUGAUCAGCCACACUGGAACUGAGACACGGUCAAGACUCCUACGGGAGGCAGCAGUGGGGAAUCUUGCGCAAUGGGCGAAAGCCUGACGCAGCGACGCCGCGUGAGUGAUGAAGGCCCUCGGGUUGUAAAGCUCUGUGGAGGGGGACGAAUAAGGGUUGGCUAAUAUCCAACUUGAUGACGGUACCCCUUUAGCAAGCACCGGCUAACUCUGUGCCAGCCGCCGCAGUAAUAC